CCUACGGGAGGCAGCAGUGAGGAAUAUUGGUCAAUGGGCGCGAGCCUGAACCAGCCAAGUCGCGUGAGGGAUGACGGUCCUACGGAUUGUAAACCUCUUUUGCCGGGGAGCAAGCGUUCGUUCGUGAACGCGCGUCGGGAGUACCCGGAGAAAAAGCAUCGGCUAACUCCGGGCCAGCAGCCGCGGUAAUACGGAGGAUGCGAUCGUUAUCAGGAGUUAUUGGGGUUAAAGGUUGGGUAGGUGGAAGUUUAAGUUAGCGGUCAAAUGUCGGUGCUCAACACCGGCCUGCCGUUGAAACUGGUCUGCUUGAGUGAGCGAGAAGUAAGCGGAAUGCGUGGUGUAGCGGUGAAAUGCAUAGAUAUCACGCAGAACGACGAUUGCGAAGGCAGCAUGCCGGCGCUAAACUGACGCUGAGGCACGAAAGCGUGGGGAUCGAACAGGAUUAGAUACCCCGGUAGUC
rnacentral:rRNA from 1 species